rnacentral:misc_RNA from 1 species
CAGCCGGUAAUUCCAGCUCCAAUAGCGUAUAUUAGUGUUGUUGCGGUUAAAAAGCUCGUAGUUGAAUUUCGGGAUUGGGAUAUAUCGGUCAUGCCUUUAGGGGCAUGAAUCGGUGUGUAGCCAAUUUCUCACCUUCUGGUGAAUUGGGAUGCUCUUGGGUGUUUCAAUGAACUAGGACUUUUACUUUGAAAAAAAUAUAGUGUUUAAAGCGGGCAUUUUUGCUUGAAUACAUUAGCAUGGAAUAAUAAAAUAGGACGAUGGUUCUAUUUUGUUGGUUUUAGGACCACGUAAUGAUUAAUAGGGAUAGUUGGGGGCAUUAGUAUUCAAUAGUCAGAGGUGAAAUUCUUGGAUUUAUUGAGGACUAACUACUGCGAAAGCAUUUGCCAAGGAUGUUUUCAUUAAUCAAGAACGAAAGUUAGGGGAUCGAAGACGAUUUAUGUACGUCGUAGUCUUAACCAUAAACUAUGCCGACUAGGAAUCAGACAAAGUUCAUUUUUUAACGACUUGUUUGGUACCUUACG